rnacentral:rRNA from 1 species
UACGGAGGAUCCAAGCGUUAUCCGGAUUUAUUGGGUUUAAAGGGUGCGUAGGCGGCCUGUUAAGUCAGGGGUGAAAGACGGUAGCUCAACCAUCGCAGUGCCCUUGAUACUGAUGAGCUUGAAUGAACUAGAGGUAGGCGGAAUGUGACAAGUAGCGGUGAAAUGCAUAGAUAUGUCACAGAACACCGAUUGCGAAGGCAGCUUACUAUGGUUUUUAUUGACGCUGAGGCACGAAAAGCGUGGGGGAUCAAACAGG